rnacentral:hammerhead_ribozyme from 1 species
GCACUGCUUAGGAGUCUCAAAAUAGGACGAAACGACCGUCCAGUGC